GACGAACGCUGGCGGCGUGCUUAACACAUGCAAGUCGAACGGAAAGGCCCUGCUUUUGUGGGGUGCUCGAGUGGCGAACGGGUGAGUAACACGUGAGUAACCUGCCCUUGACUUUGGGAUAACUUCAGGAAACUGGGGCUAAUACCGGAUAGGCGCUCCUGCUGCAUGGUGGGGGUUGGAAAGUUUCGGCGGUUGGGGAUGGACUCGCGGCUUAUCAGCUUGUUGGUGGGGUAGUGGCUUACCAAGGCUUUGACGGUUAGCCGGCCUGAGAGGGUGACCGGCCACAUUGGGACUGAGAUACGGCCCAGACUGCUACGGGAGGCAGCAGUGGGGAAUAUUGCACAAUGGGCGGAAGCCUGAUGCAGCAACGCCGCGUGCGGGAUGACGGCCUUCGGGUUGUAAACCGCUUUCGCCUGUGACGAAGCGUGAGUGACGGUAAUGGGUAAAGAAGCACCGGCUAACUACGUG
rnacentral:rRNA from 1 species